rnacentral:rRNA from 1 species
AGUGAACGCUGGCGGUAGGCCUAACACAUGCAAGUCGAACGGCAGCACAGUAAGAGCUUGCUCUUACGGGUGGCGAGUGGCGGACGGGUGAGGAAUACAUCGGAAUCUACUUUUUCGGGGGGGAUAACGUAGGGAAACUUACGCUAAUACCGCAUACGACCUACGGGUGAAAGCAGGGGAUCUUCGGACCUUUCGCGAUUGAAUGAGCCGAUGUCGGAUUAGCUAGUUGGCGGGGUAAAGGCCCACCAAGGCGACGAUCCGUAGCUGGUCUGAGAGGAUGAUCAGCCACACUGGAACUGAGACACGGUCCAGACUCCUACGGGAGGCAGCAGUGGGGAAUAUUGGACAAUGGGCGCAAGCCUGAUCCAGCCAUACCGCGUGGGUGAAGAAGGCCUUCGGGUUGUAAAGCCCUUUUGUUGGGAAAGAAAAGCAGCAGGUUAAUACCCCGCUGUUCUGACGGUACCCAAAGAAUAAGCACCGGCUAACUUCGUG